rnacentral:tRNA from 1 species
AAGAAAGUGGCAGAGUGGUUGUGCGACUGGCUUGAAACCAGAACAUGGGGGUUCAAUUCCCCCCUUUCUCG